rnacentral:rRNA from 1 species
UAGAGGAAGUAAAAGUCGUAACAAGGUUUCCGUAGGUGAACCUGCGGAAGGAUCAUUACCACACAUUUCGGGGGGGGACUUCGGUUCCCCUGUCUGAACCCUUGUCUUUUGCGUACUGUUUGUUUCCUUGGUGGGCUUGCCUGCCGAUAGGACACUAUUAAACCUUUUGUAAUUGCAAUCAGCGUCAGAAAAAACAUAAUAAUUACAACUUUCAACAACGGAUCUCUUGGUUCUGGCAUCGAUGAAGAACGCAGCGAAAUGCGAAAAGUAGUGUGAAUUGCAGAAUUCAGUGAAUCAUCGAAUCUUUGAACGCACAUUGCGCCCCUUGGUAUUCCAUGGGGCAUGCCUGUUCGAGCGUCAUUUGUACCUUCAAGCUCUGCUUGGUGUUGGGUGUUUGUCCCGCUUUCUGUGUGGACUCGCCUCAAAGCAAUUGGCAGCCGGCGUACUAGCCUGGGAGCGCAGCACAUUUUGCGCCCCUUGGCUUGAAUGCCUGCGUCCAUUAAGCCC